CAGAGGAAUCUGUUCUAUAAUCGAUAAUCCACGAUGGACCUUACUUAAAUUUGUUAAUCAGUUUAUAUACCGUCGUUAUUAGAAUAUUUUAUAAGAAAAAUAAUUUUCAGAAAAUUUUAUUAAAUUAUAUAUCAGAUCAAGGUGUAGCUUAUGUUUAAGUAGAAAUGGAUUACAAUAAAAUUAUUUAAACGGAGAUAAAUAUGAAAAAUUUAUUGAAGGUGGAUUUGAUAGUAAAGUUAUAAAGAUUAAUAAUUUGAUUUUAGCUCUAAAAUAUGU
rnacentral:rRNA from 1 species